rnacentral:rRNA from 1 species
AUGUUUUCUAGCACAAAAGUUGAUUUAUCUUGCUGCUGGCCGGUCUUACACUUUUUUGGGGAUAUAAUGAGACGACCAAGAUCAAAAAUUAUCAUGGUGUUCCUAAUUUAUCCCACUGUUAUUUAUUUGUGGCUCCUAAUUUUUGUGUUUCUGAAGAAAGAAGUGCAUUCUUGCUUCAUGUACAAAUUGUUUCGUGCAGAUCAUGUGUGCUCAAUGUACGAAAAGAAAACUGGGAUGAAAUUGAUAGGCGAGUUCUUACCAGAAUACACAUAUUUUGAUCCUUUUCUCACAUUUGAUGUGAGGUUCAGACUAAGGUAG